UAGACCCAAUUAAACAAAUGAGACCAAAAAAACCCAUAUAUUACUCUGUCAUUUAUUUAUUGAGGAAAAUUAUAUUUUAUCUCUGUGAGUGGCAAAAGUAUGUAAACCUUUGCUUUCAGUAUCUGUUGUGACCCUUUUGUGAAGCAAUAAUUGCAACUAAACGUUUCCAGUAACUGUUGAUCAGUCCUGCACAUCGGCUUGAAGGAAUUUUGGAAUUUUGGGAUGUUGGUGGGUUUCCUUACAUGAACUGCUUGCUUCAGGUCCUUCCACAACAUUUCUACUGGAUUAAAGUCAGGACUUUGACUUGAACAUUCCAAAACAUUAACUUUAUUCUUCUUUAACCGUUCAUUGGUAGAACGUUUUGUGUGCUUAGGGUCAUUGUGUUGCUGCAUGACGCACUUUCUCUUGGGAUUCAUUUUAUGAACAGAUAUCCUGACAAUUGUUUUAGAAUUUGCUGGUAUAAUUCAGAAUUCAUUGUCCCACCAAUGAUGGCAAGUCGUCCAGAUGCAGCAAAACAGUCCCAAACCAUGAUACUACCACCAGCAUGUUUCACAGAUUGGAUAAGGUUCUGAUGCGGAAAUGCAGUGUUUUCCUAUCUCCAAACAUAACGCUUCUCAUUUAAACCAAAAUUUUUUAUUUUGGUCUCAUCUAUCCACAAAACAUUUUUCCAACUUUAACAACUUUAGCAAACUGCAGAGGGGCAGCAAUGUUCUUUUUGGAGGGCAGUGGUCUUCUACUUGCAACCCUACCAUUGUGAGAGAGGCCUUUAGUUGCUUAGAAAUUACCAUGGAUUCCUUUGUGACCUUGCAGAUUAUUAGAUCGUCUUGCUCUUAGAGUGAUCUUUGUUGGUUGAUCACAACUGGGGAAGGAAACAGUGGUUUUGAAUUUCCUCAAUUUCUACACAAUCUGCCUGACUGUGGAUUGGUGGAGUCCAAACGCUUUAGAGAUGAUUUUGUAACCUUUUCCAGCCUGAUGAGUCCUCAGAAACCUCAUUUGUUCAUGCCAUGAUACACAUCCACAAACAUGUAUUGUGAAGAUCAGAUUUUGAUAGAUCCCUGUUCAUUAGAUAAAACAGGGCACUCACUCACACCUAAUUGUCCUCCCAUUGAUUGAAAACAUCUGCCUUCAAAUUAACUGCUAAUCCCAAAGGUUCACAUACUUUUGCCACCAUGCACUCACAAGGGUGCACGGUGGCUUAGUGGUUAGCACGUUUGCCUCACACCUCCAGGGUUGGGGGUUCAAUUCCCACUGUGGCCGUGUGUGUACAGGGUUUGCAUGUUCUCCCCGUGCUGGGGGGUUUUCUCUGGGUACUCUGGUUUUCCCUCCCAGUCCAAAGACAUGCAUGGUAGGCAGAUUGGCAUGUCCAAAGUGUCUGUAGUGGAUGGAAGGAGCCUCCCCUGAGCAACGUUCAGUAUCGUACUGCUGAGUGGCUAAUCCUUCCACCAUGAUGGUUCCACUAUGAAGAGGAACCUCGACACGAAAAGAAGAAAAAGCCACUCACAGAUAUGAAAUAGUGGAUCCUUUUCCUCAAUAAAUAAAUGACCAAGUAUAAUAUUUUUGUCUUGUUUGUUUAAUUGGGUUCUGGUUGUCUACUUUUAUGACUUCUGAAAAUCUGAUGAUGUCUUAGGUCAUAUUUAUGCAGUUAUAUAGACAAUUCUAAAGCAUUCACAAGCUUUCAAGCACCACUGUAUCUGUCUCCCUGUUGAUUCAGGUGGGAAAAUGCUGUUCAGAUCUAGACUAAUAAACACCUCAGUAAACAAGCCAGCCACAACCUGUUUCGUGUUUCACAGGCCACUGCAUAUGUGGCUUAGGAAAAUGUUAACAGGGAGAUGUCAUCUCCACGACUGAAUGGCACAGUUUCUAUCCUGAAGGCAUGAGUGAUGGGAAGCAGUGGGGUGACAGAUGACGAGGCAACAGCAGCCCUAUUCUUAGUAAGCAGUCAUUGUUUGUGCUCAAAUGUUAUGGACUACAUUAUUCUGUCAACUUGUGUGUGUGUGUGUGUGAGAGAGAGAAGCUUUAAUUAAUAGUGCCUGUAACCUGUUUGACAUAAGAUUGGAAAGCAGAGCACUUUUUGUUUGAACUGGGAUUUUUUUGGUCUUGUUGUGUUUUUUUCAUCUGCACACUCCUUCUUCUUGCUUUGAAACCUCAGGGGUGUUCCCGUCUGGCAGCAGACAAGACAGGAGACAUGCACUGUGGAAGCUUUUCAGUUGGAGGUUUCUAGAGAUUAAAUCAGAACACAAUUGUAAAAUGCAAGUGUAUUGGUGGGAAUGCUGCUUGGACUGGAUAAGGAUGAGAUCGUUAGGAGAGAUGAUAUCCCCGAUAUCAGAGAGAUGAUAUCCCCGGCCUGGCUUAGGUGUGGAGUGACGGCUACUGCGCAGCCAGUGGGGAGUAUGAAGCAAGCUCAAGGUGGAGCCCGAGGGGGGAGCAACAUUAACCAUGGAGGGGGGAGCGAUGCUCUCCUCGAGGUCAGAGGGAGAACCAAUGUCCUCCAUGGAGCAAGAAGGGGGAGUGUUAUGAGGCAUGAAGCAAAGAAAUGGAGUGACGUCUUCAGCGGAACAUGGAGGCAGAAUGACGUCAUCAGCAGAGCAGGAUGGCGGAGCAACGUCCUCAGCCGAGCAGGAAGGCAAAGUGACAUCCUCAGCCGAGCAGGAAGGCGGAGCAACAUCCUCAGCUGAGCAGGAAGGCAAAGUGACAUCCUCAUCUGAGCAGGAAGGCAGAGCAACGUCCUCAGCCGAGCAGGGAGACGGAGCAACAUCCUCAGUGGAAUAGCAAAGCGGAGCAACGUCUGAAGAGAAGCCUGGUGUAGUGAUAUCCGAGGCAGAGCAGGGAGGCAAAGUUGAACAGGAAGGCUGAUAAAAAAAUAUAAUUACCUUGCAUUACAUCAAUAAUACAUAAUUCACAGUUCACGCUUAGAAAUAAUAGUUUCAUAAAGACAUAAAAUCUUAAUAUAUUACAAAAUUAAGAGCAAUUGUGUUUAACUGGAUAAUAAGUGGUGUUUCUCUGGCAUUAUUGCACUGUAGUCCAGUCGUAGAAGUGUAGUAUUAGUGCUAAAAUAAUUUGUGUAGUCAUUGAGCAUGUUUACAGCUUGGGGUCACAAACUGUUUCUAUGCAUUGUCUCUCUGCUUUGUGGGUCACUCUGUGGCACACCAUUAGGCUGUUUUGCCUCUGUUAUGCCAGAGGGGAGGAGCCCUUGUUAUCUGUGCAUGACUCUUUGAGAGUGGCCGUUGUGGUGAUGUCUCCAUGUUGGAAGUACGCUAAUUGUCUUUGUGUCCUGGUUCCGUGCUCCAGUCCCUGGCAGGUUACAAUGGUGCCCAGUGUUGCUCUCCCAGAACAAUCGCUCUCUGUCUCUGCUGGACCAGCACAGUCACUGUCAGUUCAGACUGUACACACUCUGCAGCAAUCGCAGAUACCAAGCGAUAGACCAGAAAAAUCCAAAACCAUAUAGACAAAAACAUUCCUGCACUCAUUUGUACACAUACCCAUUACACUGAUAUUCAUUUAUGUGCAAACAAAUUGGUACUAUGAUGAAUAAACACCAAAUGAGACAGUGAAACAUUGUCAAGUUUGCAUGCAAUAAAUCAGUGAAUAAUUCACCACAAGAUAUCAAUGCUAUUGGUAGCCUCUAAGAGCACUAUAUUGAUGCCAAUUCAGAUCCAUGUCUAUUCCGAUCCAUAUCACCCACUGAUAAUCUAAAACCCAUAGUUUCUAAACAGAGCCUGCUGAUGUAAGCAAAGAGGCUUGAAUGUGGAUAUCAAAUAAAUUGAUUAGAAACACUGCAGCCCAGUUUGAGGGUAUGGCUUGAUAAAAGGAAGCUAAAGCAAAGUCCUGUCUAAGGAAGGAAAACUACAUAAAUACAUCUUAGUUGUGUAAAUUACAGAACUUUAAAAUCUUUAAAGACUGAUAUUUAUAUUUGCACAGAUGACUAAAAAAAGAGUUGGAUCUGACCUGCAGUCAAAGAGCUGAGAUGCUGUGGAUUCUGACACAGGGGAUCCCUCAAACUUUGUUUCCUCAGAAAUGCCCUUGAGCCCUUCUCAUUUAAACUUCAGCCCCUGUUAUGUGCCUUUUCAAUUAAGCCUGUCUUAAGAUAUACCUGUCUUUCCCUUUUCUCUUAUUUCUUGCUUUCUCUUUUUAUCCCUUUUCCUAACCAGUGUUGGGUAAGUUACUCAAAAAAAAGUAAUCCACUACAGACGACUAAUUACUACUUUAAAAUUGUAAUCUGAUUACAUUACUGAUUAUUGCAUGUAAAAAAGUAAUCACAUUACUAAUUACUUUCAAGUUACUUUCAAAACCUUUCAAACCUACAAAAAUAACACUACAAACACUACAAAGUGAAACUCAGUUCUUUCAGUGAUUUUAGCGUGCGUCAAUGAUCGGAAAAAGUUGGAUUUAUCAUAAAACUUGCCUCGGGUGUUGUCACUGUUUGUAGGACUACCAGACUGAUAAAAUAGAAAACUUUUCUAACUAGACUAGUCUCGUGUCACUAACCAAGCAGAGGCACAGCUAAGCUAUUGUUGUAUGGGUUUAGCUGCUACAGUGCCAUGCAAAGUACAUUAUCUUUCCAUAUGCUAUGCUCAUAUCAUGUUUACGAAAACUGGAACUCAUAUAGACAUUUACACACCUUGUUUUCCUGCUCAGCAUGAGAGGAUGUUAGUGUUUCAGUUUCAACCCAUUUACUGCUUUAAAAAAAAUUGGCGUAUAUCCAUUUUUCCUCACACUGACUGUGAGCUAGUGUUUGGCAGAAUUGAGAGACUAUCAGCCAAUAAGACAUGAGUGUUUCCACGUAUUUUCCUAUAAACUCUGUCUGAUUGGUCUCACCUACGUUCACUGAAGAUAUAAAAUUACAGACGGUCUUCUUUUACUGAUGUUUAGGUAUGUAGUGAUAAACUGCUCCAAGUGGUUUGAUUAUUCGGGGAUAAAGAAAAAAUGUUCGGGGCUGCAGUCCUGAAUGACCAGGCUAGAUUACGCUUCUGGAAGCCGCACAAAAUGUGAUUUAUUUUUAAAAUACAUUUUACUUAAUAUUGUUUUCUUAACAAUAAAUUUCUAACG